AACGAACGCUGGCGGCAUGCCUAACACAUGCAAGUCGAACGAGAUCUUCGGGUCUAGCGGCGCACGGGUUCGUAACGCGGGGGAAUCUGCCCUUUGGUUCGGAAUGACAGUGGGAAACGACUGCUAAUACCGGAUGAGGACGACAGUCCAAAGAUUUAACGGCAGAGGAUGGGGCCGCGUAGGAUUAGCUAGUUGGGGGGGUAAAGGCGCACCAAGGCGACGAAGCGUAGCCGGGCUGGGAGGAUGAUCAGGCACACUGGGACUGGGACACGGCCCAGACUCCUACGGGAGGCAGCAGUGGGGAAUAUUGGACAAUGGGCGAAAGCCUGAUCCAGCAAUGCCGCGUGGGUGAUGAAGGCCUUAGGGUUGUAGAGCUCUUUUACCCGGGAUGAUAAUGACAGUACCGGGAGAAUAAGCUCCGGCUAACUCCGUGCCAGCCGCCGCGGUAA
rnacentral:rRNA from 1 species